rnacentral:rRNA from 1 species
AGCGAACGCUGGCGGCAGGCCUAACACAUGCAAGUCGAACGAAGUCUUCGGACUUAGUGGCGGACGGGUGAGUAACACGUGGGAACGUGCCUUUAGGUUCGGAAUAACUCAGGGAAACUUGUGCUAAUACCGAAUGUGCCCUUCGGGGGAAAGAUUUAUCGCCUUUAGAGCGGCCCGCGUCUGAUUAGCUAGUUGGUGAGGUAAAGGCUCACCAAGGCUACGAUCAGUAGCUGGUCUGAGAGGAUGACCAGCCACAUUGGGACUGAGACACGGCCCAAACUCCUACGGGAGGCAGCAGUGGGGAAUUUUGCGCAAUAGGCGAAAGCCUGACGCAGCCAUGCCGCGUGGAUGAUGAAGGUCUUAGGAUUGUAAAAUCCUUUCACCGGUGAAGAUAAUGACUGUAGCCGGAGAAGAAGCCCCGGCUAACUUCGUGCCAGCCGCCGCCGUAAGAC